AAUGAACGCUGGCGGCGUGCCUAACACAUGCAAGUCGCACGAGAAAGCCUGAUUUCGGUUGGGCGAGUAAAGUGGCGCACGGGUGAGUAACGCGUAGGCAACCUACCCCCGGGUCUGGGAUAACAGUGCGAAAGCGCUGCUAAUACCGGAUACGCCCUCGAGGCGGGAGCUUCGAGGUGAAAGUCGGCCUCUCGAAGAAGCCGGUGUUCGGGGAUGGGCCUGCGUCCUAUCAGCUAGUUGGUAGGGUAAUGGCCUACCAAGGCUAUGAUGGGUAGCCGGCCUGAGAGGGUGAUCGGCCACACUGGAACUGAGACACGGUCCAGACUCCUACGGGUGGCUG
rnacentral:rRNA from 1 species